UAUGUUUUGAUUCAUGGCUCAGGACGAACGCUGGCGGCGGCCUAAACAUGCAAGUCGAGCGAACAGAAGGGAGCUUGCUCCGGAUGUUAGCGGCGGACGGGUGAGUAACACGUGGGAACCUGCCUGUAAGACUGGGAUAACUCCGGGAAACCGGAGCUAAUACCGGAUAGUUCCUUGAACCGCAUGGUAAAUGAAAGACGGUUUCGGCUGUCACUUACAGAUGGACCCGCGGCGCAUUAGCUAGUUGGUGGGGUAAUGGCUCACCAAGGCGACGAUGCGUAGCCGACCUGAGAGGGUGAUCGGCCACACUGGGACUGAGACACGGCCCAGACUCCUACGGGAGGCAGCAGUAGGGAAUCUUCCGCAAUGGACGAAAGUCUGACGGAGCAACGCCGCGUGAGUGAUGAAGGUUUUCGGAUCGUAAAGCUCUGUUGUUAGGGAAGAACAAGUGCGAGAGUAACUGCUCGCACCUUGACGGUACCUAACCAGAAAGCCACGGCUAACUACGUGCCAGCAGCCGCGGUAAUACGUAGGUGGCAAGCGUUGUCCGGAAUUAUUGGGCGUAAAGGGCUCGCAGGCGGUUUUUAAGUCUGAUGUGAAAGCCCCCGGCUCAACCGGGGAGGGUCAUUGGAAACUGGGAAACUUGAGUGCAGAAGAGGAGAGUGGAAUUCCACGUGUAGCGGUGAAAUGCGUAGAGAUGUGGAGGAACACCAGUGGCGAAGGCGACUCUCUGGUCUGUAACUGACGCUGAGGAGCGAAAGCGUGGGGAGCGAACAGGAUUAGAUACCCUGGUAGUCCACGCCGUAAACGAGGUGCUAAGUGUUAGGGGGUUUCCGCCCCUUAGUGCUGCAGCUAACGGCAUUAAGCAUCCCGCCG
rnacentral:rRNA from 1 species